rnacentral:rRNA from 1 species
AGUAACUGCGAGUGAAAGCGNCAAAAGCUCAAAUUUGAAAUCGGUGUCCAUCAAUCGCAUCGAGUUGUAAUUUGGAGGGACAACUUCGGGCUGAACCACAUCGUAAGUUCCUUGGAACAGGACGUCAUAGAGGGUGAGAAUCCCGUGUCUCGAUGUCGGGUCAAACCAUGUGAAGUGUCUCCGACGAGUCGAGUUGUUUGGGAAUGCAGCUCAAAAUGGGUGGUAAAUUUCAUCUAAAGCUAAAUAUUGGCGAGAGACCGAUAGCGCACAAGUGAGUUGAUCCGAAAAUGAAAAGCACUUUGAAAAGAGAGUCCNAAAAGUACGUGAAAUUGUUGAAAGGGAAACGCUUGCGACCAGACUCCGAUCCUUUGGUUGAUCCACCUUAUAGCAACCUUCAACAAUGUGCCAGUUGGGACCGAGGACCGCGCUUCGGCUAGGAUGCUGGUGUAACGGUCUUAAGCGACCCGUCUUGAAACACGGACCAAGGAGUCUAACAUCUAUGCGAGUGUUCGGGUGGAAAACCCUUGCGCGUAAUGAAAGUGAACGGAGGUGUGAACCCUUCGCGGGGUGCAACAUCGACCGGUCCUGAUGUNUUCGGAAGGAUCUGAGUAAGAGCAUAGCUGUUGGGACCCGAAAGAUGGUGAACUAUGCCUGAAUAGGGUGAAGCCAGAGGAAACUCUGGUGGAGGCUCGCAGCGGUUCUGACGUGCAAAUCGAUCGUCAAAUUUGGGUAUNGGNGCGAAA